rnacentral:lncRNA from 1 species
UGCAACCACAUCGUUCCAAACUGUUUUCGUGAUAUUACACAAAAUCGAUGCUUUUUCACAUUCAAUCCAGAUGUGAUAAUAAAUCGCGCAACACUGUCCGCAUGUUGUUGUUUGAUGGUCGACGGACGACGACGCCAUAUUUUUUUUGCUGGAAGAUCUUCGCGUUUCAAUUUGAAUCUUUAUUAAAUUUUAGUGGUUUAUCGCGAACCUUUUAAAAUAAAAUUCGAAAGUCUAGUGCUUAAGAUAUAUGAAGUUUGGACCAGAAAGCAGCUAAAUUCAUCCGGUGCAAUGACCAUCAGCGGUAGCAACUCAAUGAAGGAAUCCGUGCCAGCAAUCCUGACGGACAAACCAUCGAAGGACAAAGCUAUUCCGAUGCAUCCGCUUUCACAGCCCAUCUUCCGCUUGUUCAAUACGCCUGGCAAGGAGAACAAGAAACUUCGUCGGGGAAUCGGUUCCGAUCCGCGCUUGUGAGUGUCCCGCUUUCUGCAGAUGCUGGCCAUCCAGUCGACGCAAUCUUUUGGCGAGAAGGAUGUCUAUUUCAAGAAGCUGGAGAAACGGCGGGAUUUGCGAUUGCCAGCUCGUGGGACACUAUUGUAUAUGCGGCCAACGCCGACAGCCGGAGACUGAAAUCGGUGUCACGGAUACUGGUCGAUGUCGUGCUGCUGAUGGUGCUAUGGCCGCCAUCGAGGAAGUGAACCGGGCAAGGCAAGGCAAGCGGUUAAAUUCUAGUUGGAAACGCUAGAUAAACACCCGGAGCAGGAAACGGUUUUGACGGACAGGAUCCAUGUGCCAGCAUUUAGAGACAACACUGCCGAAACUUUGCUAGCUGAAUAAUAUGAAAGGAUUGGCACGAAGCAUUUCAACGGGCUGCGAUCGUUUGCUGAGAACACCUUGUACCAUGAACGUCUUUUGGCUAUCUGAAGAAGUCCAAUGCAAUUCCUCGGGGUUAUCUCCUACGUUAGGCGUCCCAGCCAUUAUGUUUGAUCAUUCAUUUGAUUGCCUAGUGAAAUAAAAAUGUAAUGAAUAAUCAAAAUUUAUUAUUUUUAGUUUGAAACAUAUUUUAUUUUGUUACCAUCAAAUUCUAUUCAAUGGUUGGUUGAAUUGCUUUAAUUCAUUUCAAAAUUAAAAAUAUUUUAUCAAUAAUUCUUACAUUUGAGUAAAACUUCGAGAAAAAGGAAAAAAAGCAAUUUAAUCAACCAUUGAAAAGAAUUUGUGAUCGAGUUUUCCGUUAAAUCGCUUGGUUUACAUAGUUCUCAUAUUACAUCGUGUCGAUUACAUCGUAUUCUGUACGUUGAAUAUAUUACAUCGGACAAAUUA